UGAACGCUAGCGGCAGGCUUAAUACAUGCAAGUCGAGGGGCAUCAAGGUACACGAAAGUGUAUUGUUGGCGACCGGCGGACGGGUGAGUAAUAGGUAGGUAACCUACUCAUACUGAGGCAUAGCUGGGAGAAAUUCCAGGUAAUUCCUCAUGAGGUUAUAUGACACAUGUGAUAUAAUCAAAGGUAUCGCAAGGUACUGGUAUGAGAUGGGCUUACUGACCAUUAGCUAGUUGGUGAGAUAAGAGCUCACCAAGGCGAAGAUGGUUAGGGGUUUUGAGAGAGAGAUCCCCCACAUUGGAACUGAGAUACGGUCCAGACUCCUACGGGAGGCAGCAGUAGGGAAUAUUGGGCAAUGGGCGGAAGCCUGACCCAGCCAUGCCGCGUGAAGGAAGACGGCCUUAUGGGUUGUAAACUUCUUUACUAUGCGACUAACUAGAUUUACGAGAUAAUUCUAUAGAAUGUAGCAUAGCAAAAAGCACCGGCUAACUCCGUG
rnacentral:rRNA from 1 species